GGUCCUGUGGAGGAGUUAGGCCGUCCUCACCGCCCUGUCAAGGCGGACAUCGCGGGUUCAAAUCCCGUCAGGACCGC
rnacentral:tRNA from 2 species